rnacentral:rRNA from 1 species
UACGAAGGGGGCUAGCGUUGCUCGGAAUCACUGGGCGUAAAGGGUGCGUAGGCGGGUCUUUAAGUCAGGGGUGAAAUCCUGGAGCUCAACUCCAGAACUGCCUUUGAUACUGAGGAUCUUGAGUUCGGGAGAGGUGAGUGGAACUGCGAGUGUAGAGGUGAAAUUCGUAGAUAUUCGCAAGAACACCAGUGGCGAAGGCGACUUACUGGACUGUAACUGACGCUGAGGCAUGAAAGCGUGGGGAGCAAACAGG